GAAAAGGAUGACUAAAGAUAGACCAUAUUGACACUCAUCAGAAGAAAGUUGGAGAAUAUCUAUGAAUAUCAAAGUAGAUUU